rnacentral:other from 1 species
UUAUGCCUACGCGAUGCGUGAUGAGCGACAUAUUGAGACCUACACUUAUACAAAAGGAGUCCUAUAUUUAAUGCUGGCUUGCAGGCCUCCUAGCAUUCAUCCUCUUAAUGAGACUAAGGUCGGACGAUGCGUGUUAGAUGUUGGAAGCAGUAAAGGCGUUUUGCGGACACCCCCCUAGCUUUUUAGGGUUCUAAUUUUGCUCACACGGUCGAGGUGGGUUAACA